CCCGGAGGGGUGGUAGGUGGACAGGCGGUGGAGCUGAUGUUUGGGGUUGAUUCAGGACCCCAUUCAGAGCCCCGAGUGAUCACUAGCAAGAAGCAGCUGGUCACACAGUGAUUCUCACUGAGUCCCUCCAUUUGGAUUUCAGAAUCAAGCUGAUUCUCUGGGGACACGACAACCAAGAAGUCUGUGUUCUCUUAUUCCCUCCAUGAUCCAAGAGAACACCUUUUUAGUCCUCCCUUUUGGACACCAGCUGUACUACGAAGCUUGAACACUGAGUACUGGCCCUGCUUGCAACAGGAGGUUUUCAAUAUUUU
rnacentral:lncRNA from 1 species